GUCAAUGUGAUAUAGUGGUUUGAGUGCUGGACUAAGACUCCAGGGUGAGGGUUUGAAUCCCUACUUAGUCA